CGCGUAGGCGGACAGUUUAGUCAGAGGUGAAAGCCCGGGGCUCAACCUCGGAAUUGCCUUUGAUACUGGCUGUCUUGAGUACGGGAGAGGUGUGUGGAACUCCGAGUGUAGAGGUGAAAUUCGUAGAUAUUCGGAAGAACACCAGUGGUGAAGGCGAUAUAUUGGCCCGUUACUGACGCUGAGGCGCGAAAGCGUGGGGAGGCAAAACA
rnacentral:rRNA from 1 species